AUACGGAGGGUGCAAGCGUUAUUCGGAAUCACUGGGCGUAAAGGGUGCGUAGGCGGUUUGAUAAGUCUGAUGUGAAAUCCUAUGGCUCAACCAUAGAACUGCAUUGGAAACUGUCAGACUAGAAUACUGAAGGGGCAGAUGGAAUUAGUGGUGUAGGGGUAAAAUCCGUAGAUAUCACUAGGAAUACCGAAAGCGAAAGCGAUCUGCUGGGAAGUUCUUGACGCUGAGGCACGAAAGCGUGGGGAGCAAACGGGAUUAGAAACCCCAGUAGUCC
rnacentral:rRNA from 1 species